UGAGCAUAGUGAUAGAUGCUUUGAGUAGAACACAGCUUGCUGCGUUACUUACCACAAAUUGCAGACGCUUAGAGUGAUGAAAUUUUGAGCGCAUAGCACCGACUGGGUCACCAGUCGGUACGUUUGGUUCGGGGUUG
rfam:Caenorhabditis brenneri strain PB2801 C_brenneri-6.0.1_Cont77.9, whole genome shotgun sequence.